CCACUCCAUAUAAACCAAACACUCCUCCUUUGCCCGGCGUCCACAACCGACACUCGAACCCAUUCCCUAGGGUUCCAAUGUUGAUUACACAGGACAUGAGCACAUCUUGUAACAAGAACUAAACCAGAUGCUUGAUCAGAAGGCCCCUUACUAGGACUGUCGCCUUCAACGUCCCUAGAAGCAUCCCAGACAUUACUGACACCACGGUACCUAUGCUUGAUGAGUUCUACCCAGUAACUGAACACAGUGUACUCGCUGAAAUUGGUGACAAAGCGGAAUCACCAACGCUCUCCCUAGCAGUGUUCUGAAUCGACUCAAAGCCCAACACAAGAGGUACUGUACCAAAUUGAACUUCCACCAUGGUACUAAACUUGUCCAAAUGUCUCCUCUUAACUGGUUCUGCACGCACCUGCAAAAUGUACAAUUAGGAUCUUUUCCGUCCCUUCAAUACAACUCGGACUCCCAUUCGGACCUUCAAGACUCCAUCCCCUCCAGCGAAUUUAUACCCUUUUGUAUCUAGGGUACUUAGCGAAAUGAGAUUCAUUUUCAGGUCAGGAACAUGUCGAACGCAGGAACAUGUCGAACCUGAUCAAUUUUAUUAAAUGUUCCAUCUCGUAGCUUCAAUCUGACUUGACUGAUCCCAGCAAUACGGAAAGAUUGGUUGUUU
rnacentral:lncRNA from 1 species